rnacentral:rRNA from 1 species
UUGUAUUAGCUAGUAGGUGAGGUAACGGCUCACCUAGGCGACGAUACAUAGCCGACCUGAGAGGGUGAUCGGCCACACUGGGACUGAGACACGGCCCAGACUCCUACGGGAGGCAGCAGUAGGGAAUCUUCGGCAAUGGGGGCAACCCUGACCGAGCAACGCCGCGUGAGUGAAGAAGGUUUUCGGAUCGUAAAGCUCUGUUGUAAGUCAAGAACGAGUGUGAGAGUGGAAAGUUCACACUGUGACGGUAGCUUACCAGAAAGGGACGGCUAACUACGUGCCAGCAGCCGCGGUAAUACGUAGGUCCCGAGCGUUGUCCGGAUUUAUUGGGCGUAAAGCGAGCGCAGGCGGUUUGAUAAGUCUGAAGUUAAAGGCUGUGGCUCAACCAUAGUUCGCUUUGGAAACUGUCAAACUUGAGUGCAGAAGGGGAGAGUGGAAUUCCAUGUGUAGCGGUGAAAUGCGUAGAUAUAUGGAGGACACCGGUGGCG